GAAGAAACCAACAUGCCUAUGACCCCAAAUCCUGUGGCUAACAUCAAAGUGAAUAAAAGUGGAAAUACAGCAAAAUGGCAGAAGUGAUUUUUGAUUUCUUCCCUGUCCAACCUGUGAAGGAGUGCAGAUCUACCUAGGCUUUGAGUGACCAUCUCACCACUAUGAAGGUUGAGGGAAAUAACAAGUGAGUUUUUUUUUCCUUCCCUCACCUCCGUGUACAUAAUAAACAAGCAAGCCAAGGGCAUUUUCUAGUAAAUGUGAUUGCCUGCACCAUACAACGCUCCUUUUCCAUAAUGGCUGGAAUAAAAAUGAAAGUAUGCAACAGCACCUUCAAGGGAAAUCGAGAGAGUAAACCUGAAGCAGACUGUGAGUGGAUGUGAUGGAUUGCGUUGUGAUUUGUUUGGAACCGUAAUCAGAACCCCCGAAGACCUCCACCAGAUAAUGCUGUAUUUCUACCAAGGGAAGAUUUAUACAGUUUUCCUGGCUUUGUACAGUUUUCUGAAAACUGUACAAAGGUGAAAUAGUUUGUUGAAGAGCUAUUGAUAGUAGCUCUUGAGAGUUGAAGAGUUGAAGACAAUGUAGUCAACCACCAUGGGAUUAAUAGAGUCGUAAAAUAUGGCAUGUGUGCAAAAAGGAAUAAUGGUCGGAUGGAUUGAACUAAAUCCAGGAAUGGAAGCAUGAACCGAUUUGAGGAACAUGCUGCUACCAUAAAAGAUAAAUAUGAAAUGAGUAGCAAAAUAAAAU
rnacentral:lncRNA from 1 species